rnacentral:rRNA from 1 species
AGAAUCAACGCUGGCGGCGUGCCUAACACAUGCAAGUCGAACGAGAAAGUGGAGCAAUCCAUGAGUAAAGUGGCGCACGGGUGAGUAACACGUGACUAACCUACCCUUGAGUGGGGGAUAACCUCGGGAAACCGGGGCUAAUACCGCAUAACAUCGAGAGAUCAAAGGAGCAAUUCGCUUAAGGAGGGGGUCGCGGCUGAUUAGCUAGUUGGUGAGGUAAUGGCUCACCAAGGCUAUGAUCAGUAUCCGGCCUGAGAGGGCGCACGGACACACUGGAACUGAAACACGGUCCAGACUCCUACGGGAGGCAGCAGUGGGGAAUUUUGCGCAAUGGGGGAAACCCUGACGCAGCAACGCCGCGUGGAGGAUGAAGUCCCUUGGGACGUAAACUCCUUUCGAUCGGGACGAUAAUGACGGUACCGGAAGAAGAAGCCCGGCUAACUUCGUGCCAGUAGCCGC